UACGGGGGGGGCAAGCGUUGUUCGGAAUUACUGGGCGUAAAGGCUCGUAGGCGGCCAACUAAGUCGGACGUGAAAUCCCCAGGCUCAACCUGGGAACUGCGUCCGAUACUGGAUGGCUUGAAUUCGGGAGAGGGAUGCAGAAUUCCAGGUGUAGCGGUGAAAUGCGUAGAUAUCUGGAGGAAUACCGGUGGCGAAGGCGGCAUCCUGGACCGACAUUGACGCGUGAGGAGGCGAAAAGCUAGGGGAGCAAACGGGG
rnacentral:rRNA from 1 species